GAGCCACAUAAAAGGAUAGAAUGAGACAGUAAUUGGGAGAGUGUUUCUUUUGGCUAAGGGAGUUGGUUGAAAUGGAAGCACCCCAACUGUAUUGAAAACUACAAGGAAAUGAAGCUAGCUUCCAUCUUUUGUCUGGAUAAAAGGAACUACAUCUUUUCUCAAACCCAAUACAAUUCAGAGACAUUAAACAGCCGGAUAACAUAACUCUGUAAACUUUCAAAGAUGACUUCACAACUGGCAGACUGAAACGGGAAAGAGACAGCUGUGUGGCUUAAAGGUGAGAAGGGCUCCAGUCAUGAGUCAAGGCCCCAUUGUGCUAGAUACUGUGCAAAUAACAGCUUAUAGCCUGAGGAUAAGAUGAAAGACAACAAUGCAGACAGACAGGGAGAAGACAAGAAUCACCUCCCUGCUGCUUCUAACCCCCCAGUGCUGAGUAUCGAAGUACAGAGGACGACGACUUUAUGGGCAGGUUUUUAACCUGAACCUCAUUGUCUGAACCUCCUUUGCCUCAUCACAGUAUCCCAUGAUGUCCAGUACCCUUCCUUGCACACCAUAUUGUUAUGCUGUUUGAAACAUGAGAAGAGUCAGUUUCCUGAUGCUACAAAUUCAUUUGCUGAACACAUUUGUGAGACAUGUACAUCAUAAUCCCUUGUAGAAAUGGCUUCUUUACUGUACUGAAUUGCUGCCUUGCAGAGACCAUGAUCUUACUCUUUUGAAUAUUUUCUAUUGGCAAUUCAAGCUGACCAUUCCACUUCCUCACUGGAGCUGUAAGAGACAAAUAUCCUCUGUGGAUCAGGCACAGAGAGGGACCUGGAACACACCAUGAUCAGGGGUUACAUUCCUGCCUCAUCAGCUAGGAAAUGAGAGCAGCACCAUGUGACUUACCUGAAUAAUCACAUAGAUCAGCUCAUAACUAUGAAGUAUUUACAGAGAUACAUUCACAAUCAGGAGUUUUAAAAAAAAUUACAAAAUAUUUGGUUGACACAUUUCAAAUAAAUAAAUUUGAGAUAAAUGUUAGCUGGAAAAGAGACUAAAAUAAUCAAAUACAUGACUAUGAAUUAUCUGCUCAGCGUUAACAUACAUUUGAAAAAUUGUGUCUGUUCUGAAGCAUGAAACAAAUUGACUGUGCCAGUCUGUAAUUCUUUGCCAGGAUAUGCUUGUUAAACAAUCUUACUGGAGCCCUAUUUUCCUCAAUAAUCCUCCGGAUUCAUGUCUCCUCUUUCAUACACAUAUUCUUCUUUUGCUUUUCUGACAUCAUUGCAUACUGGUGCAGGAAAACAAGCAUGACAUGGGUAUACUUUUCAGGCUACAUGUCAAUUUCAAUUCUUAAUGGAUUUCCUGAACAAAUUGCUCACUUUUAACAGUUGAAGGUGAUCAAAAUAAGUGUCAAAAACAGACUAGAAAUGGUGCAAAUGACAUUGAGCUAUUUGGAAAAAUCAGGGGAUCACGU